UCAUUUCUUUUUUUUUUUUUUUUUUGAGACGGAGUCUCGUUCUGUCACCGAGGCUGGAGUACAGUGGCGUAAUCUCGGCUCACUGCAAGCUCCGCCUCCCGGGUUCAUGCCAUUCUCCUGCCUCAGCCUCCCGAGUAGCUGGGACUACAGACGCCCGCCACCACGCCCAGCUAAUUUUUUUUUUUUUUUUUUUUUUUUUUUUUUUUUUUUUUUUUUUUAGUAGAGACAGGGUUUCACUGUGUUAGCCAGGAUGGUCUUGAUCUCCUGACCUCAUGAUCCGCCUGCCUUGGCCUCCCAAAGUGCUGGUAUUACAGGCGUGAGCCACGCUCCCGGCCAUAAAUACAUUUUUCUUUUUUCCUUUGAGACAGGGUCUUACUCUGCCACCCAGGCUGGGUACAGCAGUGCCAUCAUGGCUCACUGCAGCUUCAACCUCUGAGGCUCAAGUGAUCCUCUCACCUCAGCCUUCCAAGUAGCUGGGACCAGAGGUGCACUCCACCAUGCCUGGUUAAUUUUUACCCAUUUUUUGUAGAGAUGGGGGUCUCACUAUGUUACCCAGGCUGGUCUUGAACUCCUUGGCUCAAGUGAUCCAUCACCCUUAGCCUCCGAAAGUGCUAACAUUGCAGGCAUGAGCCACGGUGCCCAGCCUACAUUUCUCUUUCUUCUUUUCUUUUCUAUUUUUUUUUUUUUUUUUUUUUUUUUUUUUUGAGAUGGAGUCUCGCCCUGUCACACAGGCUGGAGUGCAAUGGUGCGAUCUCGGCUCACUGCAACCUUCAUCUCCCAGGUUCAAGUGAUUCUCCUACCUCAGCCUACAGAGUAGCUGGGACUACAGGCGCACGCCACCACACCUGGCUAAUUUUUGUAUUUUUAGUAGAGACGGGGUUUCACCAUGGUGGCCAGGAUGACCUGGAUCUCCUGACCUCGUGAUCCAUCUGCCUUGGCCUCCCAAAGUGCUGGGAUUACAGGUGUGAGCCACCGCGCCCGGCCCAUUUUUCUCUCUCCCUCUCUUUUUUUAAUACAGACGGGGUCUUAUUAUGCGGCCCAGGCUGGUCUCUAACUCGGGCUCAUCCGCACAUCUCGGCCACCCAAAGUGCUGGGAUUACAGGUGUGAGCCACAACGUCUGGCCUACAUUUUUCCUAAGAGUGUUGAAUAUUAAAAGGAUGCUUGAGGCUGGGGCGGGCGAACUGCUUGAGCCCAUGAGUCUGAGACCAGCCUGGGCAAUAUGGCAAUACCCCAUCUCUACAAAAACACAAAAAAUUAGCUGGGAGUGGUGGGGCAUGCCUGUAGUCCCAACUACUUGGGAGGCUAAGGCAGGAGGAUCCCUUGAACUUGGGAGGUAGAAGAUGCAGUGAGCUGUGAUCGUGCCACUGCAUUCCAGCCUGAAUAACAGAGCAAAACCUUGUCUCCAAAAAAAAAAAAAAAAAAAAAAAAAAAAAAAAAAAAAAGAAUGCUUGCAAUAGAGGAAGUUAAUAAAAAUGCAAGAACUGAAAGAAAAUUGAAGAUUUAUAACUUUCUACUUUAAAGCAAAUCCUAGUCACUCAAAGAGGGAAAAUAUAUUCCAAUUUCAGUGGCAGAAGAGAAGCAGCACAUAGAUCAAAGCCCUAACAAAGGACUAUACUACAACAGAUCUGGCUGAUUAAUAAUAAAGUUUCCUCUGUAAAACCUGGACCUUGAUAUUGGCCUACAGUAGACUUUAUAUUUAAAAAUGCUAGGCUGGGCGCGGUGGCUCACGCCUGUAAUCUCAACACUUUGGGAGGCCGAGG
rnacentral:lncRNA from 1 species